AUGAGCCAGAGCAGCCAAGUAGCCAAUGUGGACUUGAGGAAAGAAGCAGUCCUCAUCCAUGCUGAGGUUCACCUCGAGCCUCGGUGUGUCAGGCCUGGGAACAAGAGGAGGAAGUUUGCCACGAGACUUUGGUACUUCGUGAGACACCUCAGAGGUUCUAACAGCCUCUCUGCAGCUGGCGAGUACAAGAUGAAGCAAGGUGUUUCUGAGAGCUGGAAUUGGUCCAGGAGUUGUCUUGGAUGCCACUGGAUCACAAGGUGCCAUGGCCCAGGGUCUCUAAUGAUUGACAGGUGAUGAGCCCUUAGCACAGCUAGCUCUAUUUGGUCCUUCGCGGACACUGAUAUUUCACUGUCGUCACUGAAACGUGGCUCUCUUUGCAGUCUAUGUAAAUAGUGUGGUCAGUGUUAGAAGUAAAAUCUCUUGCUUAUAAAAGGCUUCCAUGAAUAUCUUAGUUUGGAAUGCCUUUCUCAACUUGCUCUGUGCACAAGGAGAGGAAAGGCGGUGCCCUUUCAAGUUCAGAUCACAGAAUGACUGUUAUCUUUAACACUUUUAAGGUACCCUUAACUGUGAAGUAAAGUGUAAAUUAGCAGGAAAAACAUGUUUGGUUUCCUGGCUAAGAGGGAGAAGUUUCAACAGUUGACAUCCCGCUGAUUUUUUUGGUUUUGGCUCAUAAGUGUUCUGUUUUUAAUAGUGCUGACAAAACUUCUGAAAGUGAGGAAUAUAGUGCAUAAAAGAACACAAGUCCCCAUCUUAAAGAAUCUUGUUGGAUUAAUUUCCUAUAGCACAUAUAUGUUUUGUUUAUAGAAUUUAUUAAUAGUGUGCAUCUUAUGCACCUUUUUUGUAUUACAGAGAUACAUAUAUAUGUAGCAGUAUAAUGUUUGCAUCUUUUUCAGUUCAAUCUCCCAAUUUAGUGAACUUUAAUAUUUUCUAAUUAUGUUAACUUCUUUUUUACUCAAAACACGGUAAAUUGUGAUUAUUUUACUCCAUUAAAAAGUACUUUCAGAUGGUCCAAAGAUUUAAAUUAAGUGCGCGUGUUAUGUUGGUAUUUAAUUACAUGCUUGAGAUUUCUAUUGCCAGUGAAAAUAUUUUACUCUCUUUAGAAAUAAAUUUAUACUUCAUAUUGAUAGCUUUAAUAAA
rnacentral:lncRNA from 1 species